UACGAAGGGUGCAAGCGUUAAUCGGAAUUACUGGGCGUAAAGCGCGCGUAGGUGGUUCAGUAAGUUGGAAGUGAAAUCCCCGGGCUCAACCUGGGAACUGCUUUCAAAACUGCUGAGCUAGAGUACGGUAGAGGGUGGUGGAAUUUCCUGUGUAGCGGUGAAAUGCGUAGAUAUAGGAAGGAACACCAGUGGCGAAGGCGACCACCCGGACUGAUACUGACACUGAGGUGCGAAAGCGUGGGGAGCAAACAGG
rnacentral:rRNA from 1 species